UACGGAGGGUGCAAGCGUUAAUCGGAUUGAUUGGGCGUGAAGGGCGCGUAGGCGGGAAGGAAAGUUAGAUGUAAAAUCCCGGGGCUCAACCUCGGAACCGCAUCUAAAACUUCCUUUCUUGAGGAUAGAUGGAGAAAAGGGAAUUCCACGUGUAGCGGUGAAAUGCGUAGAUAUGUGGAAGAACACCGGUGGCGAAGGCGCUUUUCUAAUUUAUUCCUGACGCUGAGGCGCGAAAGCUAGGGGAGCAAACAGG
rnacentral:rRNA from 1 species